rnacentral:tRNA from 1 species
UCCGGGGUAACUCAAUCGGCAGAGUAGCGCCCUGUUAAGGCGAAUGUUGUGGGUUCGAGUCCCACCCCCGGAG